rnacentral:rRNA from 1 species
CAAUAGCGUAUAUUAAAGUUGUUGCAGUUAAAAAGCUCGUAGUUGGACUUCGGGGCAUGGGUGCCCGGGUGACAGUUGUCAUUGCGGAGCGUCCUGUCCUUCCAGGCCAAGACCGGGGGCAACCUCGGGAUUUGCCUCGUUUACCUUGAAAAAAUUAGAGUGUUUAAAGCAGACGACUGUCUGAAUAGAUUAGCAUGGAAUAAUGGAAUAGGACUUUGGUUCUAUUUUGUUGGUUUCUGGAACCAGAGUAAUGAUUAAUAGGGAUAGUUGGGGGCAUUAAUAUUUAAUUGCUAGAGGUGAAAUUCUUGGAUUUAUGAAAGAUUAACUUCUGCGAAAGCAUUUGCCAAGGAUGUUUUCAUUAA